rnacentral:tRNA from 1 species
AGUCCCGUAGUCUAGUGGCCAAGGAUGCGAGGCUCUGAACCUUGCGACGGCGGUUCGAAUCCGCCCGGGACUA